rnacentral:rRNA from 1 species
CACGCCGUAAACGAUGGAUACUAGCUGUUCGGCGCAAGUUGAGUGGCUAAGCGAAAGUGAUAAGUAUCCCACCUGGGGAGUACGCACGCAAGUGUGAAACUCAAAGGAAUUGACGGGGACCCGCACAAGCGGUGGAUGAUGUGGUUUAAUUCGAUGCAACGCGAAAAACCUUACCCACCUUUGACAUGUACGGAAUCCUUUAGAGAUAGAGGAGUGCUCGAAAGAGAGCCGUAACACAGGUGC